AUCGAGUUUUUGAAAGGAGUUGUAGCUGGCCUCAUGGGGCAUGUGCACGCUCUGCUUCAAUCCACUCUCUACACCUGUGCACUUACUGUGGGCUUUCCGGAGGGAGGGUUUGCAAUCCGUUUGUAAAUCUUUUGGGAGGGCCUGCGUUUAUUCACAAACACUUAUAACAGUAAUGGAAUGUAUACUAUGAUGUAACACAUCUAUAAUA
rnacentral:misc_RNA from 1 species